CUCAUCCCAUCCCAUCCAUCCCAAUGUUGUCCCCACCCAUCCCAUCAUCCCGCCCAUCCCAUCCAUCCCAAUGGUGACCCCACUGAUCCCAUCCCAUCCCAUCCCACCCCCCCACCCCACAGAUCCCACCCCUCCCCCCCAUGGCAGUGGUGCCCCCCAUUGCCAUCAGUGCCCCCCCGGUGUUCCCAGCAGCGCCGCCAUCCCCCCCUGCAGGCACCGCCCGCAGCCCUCCGGGGCUUUCAGUCGCUGCUCUGUGCGCCCCAUAGGGAGGGAGAGAAAUCACUGUGGCUCCGCCGGGUCACCAUGGAAACACUGGGGGUCACCAUGGGGUCACCAGGUGUCACCAUGGGAUCACCAGGAGUCACCAGGGGAUCACCAGGAGUCACCAUGGGAUCACCAGGAAUCACCAUGGGAUCACCAGGAUCUCACUAUGGGAUCACCAGGAGUCACCAUGGCAGCACUGGGAGUCACCAUGGCAGCACCAUAAGGUCACCAUGGGAUCACCAGGAUCUCAUUCACCAUGGGAUCACCAUCAUCUCACCAUGGGAUCACUAGGAUGUCACCAUGGGAUCACCAGGAGUCACCAUGGCAGCACUGGGAGUCACCAUGGGAUCACCGGGAAUCACCAUGGGAUCACCAGGAGUCACCAUGGGAUCACCAGGAGGCACCAUGGCAGCACCAGGA
rnacentral:lncRNA from 1 species